ACAAGAUGAGCUUGAUAUGCUACAGGAUGAAAAUGAAAGUUUAAUUGAAAAGUUAUCUUCAAAUGAACGGGCAUAAUCUAUCUGAAUACUGGCAUUUGGAUAUAACUUUUGCAACACCAUUUUCUCCCAAAAACUCUGAUGUAAUUAGGUUAGCCAACUAAGUGCUUUGGCCUACGGAAAAUGUUAAUAAUAGUCUUAUACUGUUAUUUUUGCAUGAUAUUUGCCUUCCCAGCUUCAACUUGCAGAGGAGAGGUGUGAGGAAGCAGAAGCAAGAGCUCAGCAGCUUGAGAAACAGGUGAACUUUUCUCAGUUUAAAGAAAACUAAACAAGAGAAAUGUAAAUGAACUUUAUACCGCUCCAGCAAGCAAAAUUAUGUAUUUGUUUACUUGAUUCAUAACAUGUUCAAUAUAGAUUGCUAAUCUUGGAGAAGGUGUAACUUUAGAAGCACGUCUUUUAAGCAGGCAAGUUUCAUGGCUUACAAGAAUUUAAUGUUAUAUUGUGAUUUAUUUUUCCUUUUUCUUAUGCGCUAUUUGUCUUCCUCUUCAGAAAGGAGGCAGCCCUGCAGGAAAGGGAGGUUUGUACUUCUAAAGAGUGCCACUCUUUUCUUGUCUCAAACUAAUCUGCAUGUGUUAUCAGUCUCAUUAUGCAUGGAAAAUUACAUAAUACUCGAUAACUAUGAGCCUUAAAAGACAUUCUUUUGUCUUGUAAGUGUGUGUUUACUGAGUUUAUUUAUGCUUAUUUCUGCAUCUUUUUAUGCAUCUCUCUUUGUGAGAUGGUACUGAUUUCAUGCAUAGAGAGGUUUAUUAUAUACACCUGAAGCAGGCAUGUGCAUGAAAUUUUUAGCAUAAAUUUUAAAAUGAGAAUCUGAUAUGUAAAAAUAAAUGCCGUCUCAACAGUCAAUAGACACUAAGCACAGAAGUUGGUGUUUGCUUUAGAUCUGUAGGAAGGAUUGCCAGAGGUCAUGCUUUAUUCAUUCUUAACACCUUCAAUAGUUUCAUUGCUUUUGUAGAUCUAGCUAGUCCUGCUUUGUUGCUUAUAACUGACUUCUUUUUGCAAAAAUCAUUGUGCUACUUUAAUUCUUUUACUUUUACAUUUUAGUCUGGACAUGGUUUAUGAACUGCAGCUGAGUAGCAUAUGACAUUGUUCUUCUUGCAGGCUGCUUUAAGAACUGCAACGCAAACUCAUGGUGGUAUACCCGAACAGAUUGCUUCUCUUCGGACAGAGGCUGAGGUAUUUUGAAAUUUUAUGUUGUAUGCUCUGGCUUUUUCU